GUCCAGGGCUACACACGUGUUACAAUGGCCGGCACAGAGGGCAGCUACCUGGUGACAGGAUGCUAAUACUCGAAAACCGGUCUCAGUUCGGAUCGAAGUCUGCAACUCGACUUCGUGAAGCUGGAUUCGCUAGUAAUCGCGCAUCAGCCAUGGCGCGGUGAAUACGUUCCCGGGCCUU
rnacentral:rRNA from 1 species